rnacentral:rRNA from 1 species
GAUGAACGCUGGCGGUAUGCUUAACACAUGCAAGUCGAACGGACUCUUCGGAGUUAGUGGCGGACGGGUGAGUAACGCGUGAGAAUCUGGCUUUGGGUUCGGGACAACCACUGGAAACGGUGGCUAAUACCGGAUGUGCCGAGAGGUAAAAGAGAAAUUGCCUGAAGAUGAGCUCGCGUCUGAUUAGCUAGUUGGUGAGGUAAAGGCUCACCAAGGCAGCGAUCAGUAGCUGGUCUGAGAGGAUGACCAGCCACACUGGGACUGAGACACGGCCCAGACUCCUACGGGAGGAAGCAGUGGGGAAUUUUCCGCAAUGGGCGAAAGCCUGACGGAGCAAUACCGCGUGAGGGAAGAAGGCUCUUGGGUUGUAAACCUCUUUUCUUAGGGAAGAACAAAAUGACGGUACCUAAGGAAUCAGCAUCGGCUAACUACGUG